rnacentral:rRNA from 1 species
UACGGAGGGUGCGAGCGUUGUCCGGAAUCAUUGGGCGUAAAGGGCGCGUAGGUGGCCCGGUCAGUCCGUGGUGAAAGCGCGGGGCUCAACCCUGCGUCGGCCAUGGAUACUGCCGCGGCUCGAGCACUGUAGAGGCAGGCGGAAUUCCGGGUGUAGCGGUGGAAUGGGUAGAGAUCCGGAAGAACACCGGUGGCGAAGGCGGCCUGCUGGGCAGUUUAGCUGACACUGAGGCGCGACAGCGUGGGGAGCAAACAGG